rnacentral:rRNA from 1 species
AGCGAACGCUGGCGGCAGGCCUAACACAUGCAAGUCGAACGAACCUUUCGGGGUUAGUGGCGGACGGGUGAGUAACACGUGGGAACGUGCCUGUAGGCUCGGAAUAACUCAGGGACACGUGUGCUAAUACCGAGUGAGCCCUUCGGGGGAAAGAUUUAACGACUUUAGAGCGGCCCGCGUCUGAUUAGCUAGUUGGUUGAGGUAAUGGCUCACCCAGGCGACGAACAGUAGCUGGUCUGAGAGGAUGAUCAGCCCCAUUGGGACUGAGACACGGCCCAAACUCCGGCGGGAGGCAGCAGUGGGGAUCUUGCGCAAUCGGCGAAGUCCUGACGCAGCCAUGCCGCGUGAAUGAUGAAGGUCUUAGGAUUGUAAAAUUCUUUCACCGGGGACGAUAAUGACGGUACCCGGAGAAGAAGCCCCGGCUAACUUCGUG